GCCAAUCAGCAGCAGACCCUCCCUCCCAGACCCUCCCACCUCCUGGACAGCUCACUAAGAAUGCAGCUUCACAAUGAAUGUAAAAUGGAUGCUGUCCAGGAGGUGGGAGGGUCUGGGAGGGAGGGUCUGCUGCUGACUGUG